rnacentral:sRNA from 1 species
GGACCAAUGUUCAUGGCUUUCGUGAGUAACUGGCUUGCACACAAAUUUACAUCCCCUUGAAUGUAUACACAAGCAAAUAUUUAGUAUUUAUUGAUAAAAUAGAACUUGCUACUGAAGAAAUUACCUCCCCAUGAACUAGGAACAGUUUGGUAACCAACGGACAUUGACCCCCACAAAUAAAAAUGAUUCCACAGUACUACAUGUACAUAGAAAUUAUCAUAAUUAAUUUAGCUUCUAAAAAUGAACAUGUCUGAAAUAUAUUUAUUUGAAAUCAUUUAAAUUUUGUUUAAGAAUGAAUUUGUUACAGAGAAUAAAAGCAUGUAAUCU